rnacentral:rRNA from 1 species
AGAGUUUGAUCCUGGCUCAGGACGAACGCUGGCGGCGUGCUUAACACAUGCAAGUCGAACGAGGUGCUUGCACCUAGUGGCGAACGGGUGAGUAACACGUGAGCAACCUGCCCUUGGCUCUGGGAUAGCCUCCGGAAACGGGGAUUAAUACCGGACAUGACCUUCUCCUGCAUGGGGGAGGGUGGAAAGUUUUUCGGCCA